rnacentral:rRNA from 1 species
CGAGGGCUUCGGCCCUAGUGGCGCACGGGUGAGUAACACGUGGGAACCUGCCUUUCGGUUCGGGAUAACGUCUGGAAACGGACGCUAACACCGGAUACGUCCUUCGGGAGAAAGUUUACGCCGAGAGAGGGGCCCGCGUCCGAUUAGGUAGUUGGUGGGGUAAUGGCCCACCAAGCCGACGAUCGGUAGCUGGUCUGAGAGGAUGAUCAGCCACACUGGGACUGAGACACGGCCCAGACUCCUACGGGAGGCAGCAGUGGGGAAUAUUGGACAAUGGGGGCAACCCUGAUCCAGCAAUGCCGCGUGAGUGAUGAAGGCCUUAGGGUUGUAAAGCUCUUUCGCACGCGACGAUGAUGACGGUAGCGUGAGAAGAAGCCCCGGCUAACUUCGUGCCAGCAGCCGCGGUAAUACGAAGGGGGCGAGCGUUGUUCGGAAUUACUGGGCGUAAAGGGCGCGUAGGCGGCCCGAUCAGUCAGAUGUGAAAGCCCCGGGCUCAACCUGGGAACUGCAUUUGAUACUGUCGGGCUUGAGUUCCGGAGAGGAUGGUGGAAUUCCCAGUGUAGAGGUGAAAUUCGUAGAUAUUGGGAAGAACACCGGUGGCGAAGGCGGCCAUCUGGACGGACACUGACGCUGAGGCGCGAAAGCGUGGGGG